UACGUAGGGGGCAAGCGUUGUCCGGAAUCAUUGGGCGUAAAGAGCGUGUAGGCGGCCCGAUAAGUCCGCUGUGAAAGUCCAGGGCUCAACCCUGGAAUGCCAGUGGAAACUGUCGGGCUGGAGUCCGGAAGAGGCGAGUGGAAUUCCUGGUGUAGCGGUGAAAUGCGCAGAUAUCAGGAGGAACACCAAUGGCGAAGGCAGCUCGCUGGGACGGUACUGACGCUGAGACGCGAAAGCGUGGGGAGCAAACAGG
rnacentral:rRNA from 1 species